rnacentral:rRNA from 1 species
CGCCGCGUGCGGGAUGAAGGCCUUCGGGCUGUAAACCGCUUUCAGCAGGAACGAAAAUGACGGUACCUGCAGAAGAAGGAGCGGCCAACUACGUGCCAGCAGCCGCGGUGACACGUAGGCUCCAAGCGUUGUCCGGAUUUAUUGGGCGUAAAGAGCUCGUAGGCGGUUGAGUAAGUCGGGUGUGAAAACUCUGGGCUUAACCCGGAGACGCCAUCCGAUACUGCUCUGACUAGAGUUCAGGAGGGGAGUGGGGAAUUCCUAGUGUAGCGGUGAAAUGCGCAGAUAUUAGGAGGAACACCGGUGGCGAAGGCGCCACUCUGGACUGAAACUGACGCUGAGGAGCGAAAGCAUGGGUAGCAAACAGGAUUAGAUACCCUGGUAGUCCAUGCCGUAAACGGUGGGCACUAGGUGUGGGUUCCAACUAACGGGAUCCGCGCCGUCGCUAACGCAUUAAGUGCCCCGCCUGGGGAGUACGGUCGCAAGACUA